rnacentral:misc_RNA from 1 species
CUCCGUCAAUGUUGGCUCAGCUUGCGCUUCUUUGCCAAUUUUCUCUGCUGCUCCCGCCGCUCCUCUUCCUCUAUCAGGCGGAGUUGCUCCUCAUCCUCCUCCUUUGCUAUUUUUGCACUUCUCCUCUCUUCCCUCAUGAUAUCAUCAAAGUUUGCCUCCAUCAUACUAUCAUCAUCUUCGUCAUCAUAGCGAUCAGCAUACCUUCUUGUAUUGAACAUUUGCCUAAUAAUAUCAAGAGCCUUUGUAUCCUCAUCUUCAUCAUCAAAGAAUGGUCUGGCAGGCUUUUUCUUGGGAUGAUUAUUUUGCAAUGAUGCAUGGGAUGAAAUCUGCUUGAAUGGUCUAUUUAUCUGAGGUUUUGAAGAGGCCACUGGCUUAUUUGGCAUAACUACAUUCUUCUUGGGUUGUG